CAACUGUACGAGUUUGAUCAUGGCUCAGGAUGAACGCUAGCGGCAGGCUUAAUACAUGCAAGUCGAGGGGCAGCACGGGUAGCAAUACCUGGUGGCGACCGGCAAACGGGUGCGGAACACGUACGCAACCUUCCCAUAACUGGUGAAUAGCCCUCCGAAAGGAGGAUUAAUACACCGUAACUUAACGGAGUGGCAUCACUUUGUUGUUAAAGAUUUAUCACUUGAAGAUGGCUGUGCGGCUGAUUAGGUAGUUGGCGGGGUAACGGCCCACCAAGCCUGCGAUCAGUAACUGGUGUGAGAGCACGACCAGUCACACGGGCACUGAGACACGGGCCCGACUCCUACGGGAGGCAGCAGUAAGGAAUAUUGGUCAAUGGACGAAAGUCUGAACCAGCCAUGCCGCGUGGAGGAUGAAGGUCCUCUGGAUUGUAAACUUCUUUUAUAUGGGACGAAAAAAGGGUUUUCUAACUCGUCUGACGGUACCAUAUGAAUAAGCACCGGCUAACUCCGUG
rnacentral:rRNA from 1 species